rnacentral:rRNA from 1 species
GAUCCUGGCUCAGGACGAACGCUGGCGGCGUGCCUAACACAUGCAAGUCGAACGGAGUGUUGCGCUGAAAUUGAGAUUAGCUUGCUAAAGGAAAUUUCUUGUAACACUUAGUGGCGGACGGGUGAGUAACGCGUGAGGAACCUGCCUUACAGAGGGGGACAACAGUUGGAAACGACUGCUAAUACCGCAUGAUGUGGAGGGGAGACAUCUCCCUUUCACCAAAGGAGCAAUCCG